rnacentral:rRNA from 1 species
AGCGAACGCUGGCGGCCGGCUUAACACAUGCAAGUCGAGCGGGCAUCCUUGUGGUGUCAGCGGCAGACGGGUGAGUAACGCGUGGGAACGUGCCCUUCGGUUCGGAAUAACUCAGGGAAACUUGAGCUAAUACCGGAUACGUGCGAGAGCAGAAAGGUUUAUCUGCCGAAGGAUCGGCCCGCGUCUGAUUAGCUAGUUGGUGAGGUUAUGGCUCACCAAGGCGACGAUCAGUAGCUGGUCUGAGAGGAUGAUCAGCCACACUGGGACUGAGACACGGCCCAGACUCCUACGGGAGGCAGCAGUGGGGAAUAUUGGACAAUGGGGGCAACCCUGAUCCAGCCAUGCCGCGUGAGUGAUGACGGCCUUAGGGUUGUAAAGCUCUUUUCUUCGGGACGAUAAUGACGGUACCGGAGGAAUAAGCCCCGGCUAACUUCGUG